ACCCCACCAAAACACUUGAUAGAAAACUAAAUAUUGAGCAACACGAACCCCACCAAAACACUUGAUAAAAAACCAAAUAUUGAGCAACACAAACCCCACCAAAACACUUGAUAGAAAACUAAAUAUUGAGCAACACGAACUCCACCAAAACACUUGAUAGAAAACUAAAUAUUGAGCAACACGAACCCCACCAAAUUACUUGAUAGAAAACUAAAUAUUGAGCAACACGAACCCCACCAAAACACUUGAUAGAAAAAUAAAUAUUGAGCAACACGAACCCCACCAAAACACUUCAUAAAAAACUAAAUAUUGAGCAACACGAGCUCAACCAAAACACUUCAUAGAAAACUAAAUAUUGAGCAACACGAACUCCACCAAAAACCAGAGCGAACUUAGGUGUUAGGUGCUCAUAAAGGAUAGAAAACUAAAUACUGAGCAACACGAACUCCACCAAAAACCAGAGCGAACUUAUGUGUUAGGUGCACAUAAAGGAUAGAAAACUAAAUAUUGAGCAACACGAACCCCACCAUAAACCAGAGCGAACUUAGGUGUUAGGUGCUCAUAAAGGAUAGAAAACUAAAUAUUGAGCAACACGAACCCCGCCAUAAACCAGAGCGAACUUAGGUGUUAGGUGCUCAUUAAGGAUAGAAAACUAAAUAUUGAGCAAUACGAACCCCACCAAAAACCGGAGCGAACUUAGGUGUUAGGUGCUCAUAAAGGAUAGAAAACUAAAUAUUGAGCAAAACAAACCCCACCAAAAACCAGAGCGAACUUAGGUGUUAGGUGCUCAUACACGAACCCCACCAAAAACCAGAGCGAACUUAGGUGUUAGGUGCUCAUAAAGGAUAGAAAACUAAAUAUUGAGCAACACGAACCCCACCAUAAACCAGAGCGAACUUAGGUGUUAGGUGCUCAUAAAGGAUAGAAAACUAAAUAUUGAGCAACACGAACCCCACCAUAAACCAGAGCGAACUUAGGUGUUAGGUGCUCAUAAAGGAUAGAAAACUAAAUAUUGAGCAAUAUGAACCCCACCAAAAACCAGAGCGAACUUAGGUGUUAGGUGCUCAUAAAGGAUAGAAAACUAAAUAUUGAGCAAAACAAACCCCACCAAAAACCAGAGCGAACUUAGGUGUUAGGUGCUCAUAAAGGAUAGAAAACUAAAUAUUGAGCAAUACGAACCCCACCAAAAACCAGAGCGAACUUAGGUGUUAGGUGCUCAUAAAGGAUAGAAAACUAAAUAUUGAGCAAUACGAACCCCACCAAAAACCAGAGCGAACUUAGGUGUUAGGUGCUCAUAAAGGAUAGAAAACUAAAUAUUGAGCAACACGAACCCCACCAUAAACCAGAGCGAACUUAGGUGUUAGGUGCUAAUAAAGGAUAGAAAACUAAAUAUUGAGCAAUACGAACCCCACCAAAAACCGGAGCGAACUUAGGUGUUAGGUGCUCAUAAAGGAUAGAAAACUAAAUAUUGAGCAAAACAAACCCCACCAAAAACCAGAGCGAACUUAGGUGUUAGGUGCUCAUAAAGGAUAGAAAACUAAAUAUUGAGCAAUACGAACCCCACCAAAAACCAGAGCGAACUUAGGUGUUAGGUGCUCAUAAAGGAUAGAAAACUAAAUAUUGAGCAAUACGAACCCCACCAAAAACCAGAGCGAACUUAGGUGUUAGGUGCUCAUAAAGGAUAGAAAACUAAAUAUUGAGCAAUACGAACCCCACCAAAAACCAGAGCGAACUUAGGUGUUAGGUGCUCAUAAAGGAUAGAAAACUAAAUAUUGAGCAAUACGAACCCCACCAAAAACCAGAGCGAACUUAGGUGUUAGGUGCUCAUAAAGGAUAGAAAACUAAAUAUUGAGCAACACGAACCCCGCCAUAAACCAGAGCGAACUUAGGUGUUAGGUGCUCAUAAAGGAUAGAAAACUAAAUAUUGAGCAAUACGAACCCCACCAAAAACCAGAACGAACUUAGGUGUUAGGUGCUCAUAAAGGAUAGAAAACUAAAUAUUGAGCAACACGAACCCCACCAAAAACCAGAGCGACCUUGGG